CACAGUGGGUGUCACCCACCCUGAGGCCCUGGGGCAGGGCAGGAGGUAGAAGGUGGUCGUGAGAAGGUGUCAGCUGCCCAGGAGGGGCUGGCGAUGUUCCAGAGGAAUGAGUGCAACCUUGGGCCUCCCGCACAGGCGGCCGCCGAAGCUCCCGUCCUACCCCACCAGGUUUCGGACCUCACCCGGGACUUCAGCCUUAAACCCGAGUUGCACCUCAUGUCUGCCCCUGCAACACAGUCCCGUUCCACAGUUCCCUAGACCCAGGAAAUGAAAGGAAGUAGUCCAGGGAAGGCAGCAGGCUGGGCACCAGAGGACACAAACCCGUGGACAAACUCCUGUUCUCAUAGAAAGAGGAGGAAACUGAGGCUUCAAGAGAGGAUGUCAUCUCCCCAAGAGCACACUGGGACAGCAGAGGUGCCCUGACUGGACCCCAGGUCUUCGUGACUCCAUGGCUCCACUCCGGUCUAAUGGCCUAGUCCUUGCUUCUACCCAUUUCAUAUCCAAAAGUACCCCCCCGCCCAAGCUCAUCCUAAUGCCAAUUCCAACCCUUCCUGGUCUUAGACCCCAGCACAAAUGUAGGCUUCACCAACCCAUUCUUAGUCCCCUUACUCACCCUGAAUCCCAGCUUGUGCCCAAAUGGUCCAAGUCCUUCAUCUGACCUUGACUCCCAACCGUCCUGAGACCUUAUUCAUGACCCUGCCUCUGACCCUAAACUCUCCAUGACUUACUCCAAAAUCCCCAUCUAAACUGUGACUCCAGCCCUACCAAAGGGAACUGUCCAACCCUGGCACCAAGAUAUUUAAAGAAGGCAGGAUAAAGUGAGGGAUGGGAGCUCAGCAACUGAAAAAAAAAAAAAAGGCUAGGAAUUUUGCAAUUGAGGAUUACUUGACAUGAAUCACUGCUUGUGUUUUAAAUCACUAAUUAAAAAGUCAGGUCCGGCCAAGUACAAUGGCUCACGCCUGUAAUCCUUGCACUCUGGGAGGCCGAGGCGGGUG